AUGCAGUUUGACAUCAGCCGGCCGGCGAGGGCGCGCCUGGAGCCGGAGCACGUGCCAGGAUGUUUUAUUGCCGCCGCGGCUGCGGCCGGGCCGGGAGGAUGUGUGUGUGCGUGCGUGUGUGAGUGUGUGUGCGCGCGCCCCGGGGGCAGGGAGGCGGGGGGCGGCGGCGGGCGGCGGAGCGCGGGGGCUGGUUCUCGGUCCCCGGGAGAAGCCAAGAAGGUAAAUAGCAGCUGCUGUGCUCGAGCCUGGGAAAACCCCGCCCCCUGCGCCUGGCCGGGGCUCAUUGGCGCGCGCUGCGUGUGGGGUGUGUGUGUGUGUGUCCGGGGCCCCCUCCUCCGGCCCCCGCCGCGCCAGGAAUCCGAGGGGGCGGCGGGCUGGGAGCCGAGCCCCGGCGCUUACCACCGCCCCCCGCCUUUCCCCGGCCAAGCCUGCCAGAGCCGAGGUAGCUGCCCUGCCAAGAGCUAUCCUGGGAGAGCUAUUGAAAGAGCCUUGACUGGGGAGGAGCAGUCUUUGAGGAGUUUUUGAGUGAACACGCCAUAUGCCUGUUUCAUCACGAGUGCAAAUCAGCAGGAGGAAAAAGGAUGUCCUUAAAGUGACGUGAAGCCAUCAAAGGAGCUCUCAGGCCCCCCUUCAGAAGGCAAAGGGAAAAAAAAAAAAACAAAACACCUGAGCAAGUUCCUGACAUCAACAUCUGAAUCUUCCUCCUCUGAAUGCUGUAGAGAUGAAACGUUUCUCUGUCUGCUCUGAGCCUCAGUUUCUUUUUUUCUAAAAUGAGGACGAUGACGAUUCCAGCGUAGGCAACUUCGUCGGGUUGCUAUCUGGACCGCAGCAGGUACUGGAUGUGAAAGUACUCGGUAGGCGACGCAGCCCCAUGCACCUGACAGGGGCGGCCCACGUCAGGUCUCAGCCACGUUCUGGGUUGAGGUCUGUGUAGCCUCAACUAGGUCAUUCCUGGCUGGGCGAAGCAGCCCCCUGCAACGGCCCCUGAGUUUCCAGGACUGGAAAACAGAUGAAUUCCACGUGAUCCCUUUCCUCAGGCUUUUCUCCCAGAUGGGGUGUGCCUUGCGGGUGGUGAGGAAGCUUGAGGAAUGCUCCAGGGUCCCUUUACGGGAAGUCUCCAGAUGCGAUCUCCUGUGGCAAACACCUGACCUGAGGACCCCAACCCCCGUCAUCGCCCUGUUAGAGGAGGCAGACUGUGGGAGGUCAUGUGGUGCUGCAUACGUGACGUUGCCUCCCCACGCAGGCAGGAAAAAGAAAGUCCUAAAGGGCACAUAGUUAUUAUUCUGAUUUCAUAGACGAAGAAACCGAGGAUAAGAAGGGUUAAGCUCCUCCUUCACAUUUGCACGGCUAGUGAGAGGGAGAUGUGGCAUUUGAACUUGGGGCAGCCUGACUGCAAAGCCUUGACUGGUUCCUGUAUAUCACCACGUGUGAUACAAUGGUUGUCACGUGUGUAAUAAUGCUUGUCUCACAAGAUGGAAAACUGCAGAGGGUCCGUGAAAGACGGACGGAUAAUGUGCCCGUGCAGUUUUAGAGGAGGGAGGGAUCACUUCCGGUUGGAGAAAUCCAGGAAACCUUCAUUGAGGAGGUGGCUUUUGCCUCCAGGUCUUGAAGAAUAGGCCAGAUUUGGACAUUCAGAGAUGCCUAUUCUUCCCGUCAGUUGUCCCUUCUGCGGGCUGUGUGGCUGGCUUCCCACAUCUGGUGAAUCUUCGCAAAAUCCAUUUAGUCCCCAGCCUCAUCCUCGUUCUCACUGUCCCCGCACAAGAGAAGUCCCGGAAUACCGGGAACGGGAGAAGAAGUCACUCUGAACUGGGUUCGACUAAAGAACCUUCCUGGAACAGGCCCUGGGGAGAGGUCUGAUGCGGUGGGUCAAUUAAGAACCGGAUUUUAUUGCAGAUUUAUUGCAGCCUUCCUUCCUUCCUUCCUCCCUCCCUCGUGUCCUGAGUUCCUGCUCUCUGCCUAGGGCAGUGCUGAGUGCUGGGGACGGGGAGGUGGGGGCCCACUCUGACACAGUUUUUGGCCCCCGGGGAGUCUCAGUGUUUAAUGAUGGGAGGGAUAAGGUUGCAGGGCCCCAGGGUCCCAGUGUUUGCCUAGAAAUUCAAGAAGCCCCCAGGGUGGGGCAGGGUGACCCCGUUGAGGGGUGUGGGUAACUAGAGUAAAAGAAAAUAAGCUGGCCAUACAGAGCAGGGGAGGGGGCGGGGGGGGGGGGGGCGGGAAGAGGGUGUUUGGGGGAGGGGCGGACGCGGAGGGGAGAAGCUUGCAGGGCAGCCAGAGGGGGAGGCCCGGGCCUGCUGCUGAGAGGGCUGAAUGAGUCAGGAGCCGGGCAGCUGGCUCACCCAGAGGCCGCCCCACCGCACCUGGCCUUGCCCACAGCUGUGCUCCAGCGAGCGGCCCACGCCAGCAGCCAGCUUUCAUCAGGGCAGCCAGAGCAGAACUUGGCUGCUUCACUGAUUUUCUUCUGCCUCUCGCCGCCCACUCGGGGAGAGCUUGUAGAACGCGGCCUGUAUCAGCGACGAUUGGGUAAACCAAGGAUGAGAGACGCUGCACGACGUCCUUGCACCCGCUUCCUUCCCAGAUGCAGGGGCCGCCAGCACAGGGCCUGAAGUUUCUCCGCCGACGUGUGCCCUUCAGCCGGCUCAGGGUCCUGCCCAGCCGCACCAUGGGGGGGGAGGGGGUGCCUCGGCCCUGGAAGGACCUGAGGGUAGCUAGGCCAGCGGUUGCUAAACUGACAGAUGGUUACCUGGGAAGCUUUGAAAAGUACACGGUGCCAGGCUCUGAGCCCAGACGUAUGACUCAGUAGUCAGGGUCUCGUCCCUGUCCGGUUGUUGAUUCUGCAGGUCCCACGCUCGGAGGGGUGGUCCCCUGGGGCCGGUGAGGCCCAGGCAGCACUUUCCUUCCUUGCGCUUGGCAACCGGCCUUUUCUUGUGAAUUUAUCGUUCUCAUUAAGGGAAUGGCUCUCAAAACCCGCUGAGAGGACCAACGCUAUUGUGCUCCUGAAUGCCGGGCUGACCGGCCAGGAGAGGGUUUCUGGGCUGGCUCUGUUCCAUUUCAUCAUGGAGAAGGAGGCUUUCCCCCGGGGGUGGGCGAGUGUUGUCUGUUGCCUUGAGAUGCUGCCCCUCAGCUGUGGGGAGAGCUGGUCAGCCAGAAAUGUCCUCCCCAGGGCUCAGGCCUACCCGGCCGAGAAGAGGGUCUGUGGACAGACGCUGCUGCCCGCCUCCCCUCGCGUGCCCCCAUCCCAACCUCCAGGGCUGGCUAAAGAGCAGGCUGUCUCCUGGAGGAAUUGAGACCUUGGGCAUCUCUCUGGGAAGUCAUUUUAAAUCUCAUUUCUAAGUCCCAAGAGGUGCUCAGCAAAUGGAUAGUAAUGAUUUUUAUUCCAUGUGCCUGAGAUUUGCUCGCGCAGACUUUCACGGGUUCGUUCCCUGUGACGCCCUGGGAGGAGAGGGGACAGGGGACCAUCUUCCCAUGCUGAGCUCAGAAAGGGAGUGGGCUCCCGAAGUGUUUGGUCCUAAAGGACCAAAAGUGUGUGUUAGGUACCGUCACAUGGUUGAGAAAGAAAGAGAGGGAGAGAAGGAGGGCCAGAGGGGGAGAGAGAGAGAUGGAAAGAGAGAGGGAGAGAAGAAACAACUGAUAAAGCAAAUGGGGUAAAAUGUUAAUAGUGAAUCACCUGGCUAAAAACAUACAGGUGGUUUUGACUAUUUUGACAAUAUUUUGAAGUUUUAAAUUUAUUUUCAAAUAAAAACAUCUUUGAAAAGGGGAGGUGGUUUAUU
rnacentral:lncRNA from 1 species